rnacentral:rRNA from 1 species
GACGAACGCUGGCGGCGUGCCUAAUACAUGCAAGUCGAGCGGAUCGGAGGGAGCUUGCUCCCGAUGAUUAGCGGCGGACGGGUGAGUAACACGUGGGCAACCUGCCUAUAAGACUGGGAUAACUUCGGGAAACCGGAGCUAAUACCGGAUAAUGCUUUUGAACACAUGUUUGAAAGCUGAAAGAUGGUUUCGGCUAUCACUUAUAGAUGGGCCCGCGGCGCAUUAGCUAGUUGGUGAGGUAACGGCUCACCAAGGCGACGAUGGGUAACCGGCCUGAGAGGGUGAACGGUCACAUUGGAACUGAGACACGGUCCAA